UCGUCCGGAGGCAGCGGCAGCGACGGCACCGGAGGGACAACCCGGCGGCGAGGACUACCUCUCUGGCGCGUGGAGUACUUCCUUUCCUCUCUCAUGCGGUAGGGACUCAGAGGCGCCGUGGGUGGUGUAAGGUCCGGGCGAGCUCGGCAGCGAUAACGGCCUUCUCCGGCGUCCCUCUCCACCGCCGGCGGUAUUAUCGCUAGAAUUGAAAUUCUGCCAAGCAAUCUAGGAGUAGAAGAAUAUGUAUGCAAGGGACUUGGAGACGAGGCAAUGGUUUUGAAGCUUUGGGAGCCUGCGGCCGGUUCGACGGAUGACAUCAGCAAGCGCCGGCCCGCCUCGGCACAGCUGCGGGUUGUUAUAUGGUGGGCGGAGCACACGAGUGAGCUUCGAUGUCAGGGUAUACGUUCCACAUGCUUGUGAGGUACACAUUUUAUAGGUCCAGAUGUAAGUGUUUGCUUGAUUUGUCGCUCAAGUUUCAUGUUCAAAUGAUGCUCCUUGACUUCAAUACAAUGUUGGUAUGUAGGAUGACUAUCUAUGCAACUUAUCAUGCACAAAUUAAAAAAUGCUUGGCUCCUCUUCUGCAUGUCUCCAAGGAAUAAUUUCUGAUGUAUAAUGAGAUAAUGAUUAUUUCUUUUUAUUUCUUAUCAUGCGGCUAGUUGCUACAAAAAAUUAACACAUACAUCGCCACUUAUCAUUAAAACAAAAUCAUAUCUGCCAAGUUUCUACAUUCCGUCGAAGCUUGCAGAUUUACCAUCUAUUUUGGUACAUUAUUGAAACAAAUCGUAACCAUGGAUUCUAUAUGGAAGAUCGAAAUAUCAUUUUUACAUUAGGUUCAUGUACUAUAAGGAAUCGACUUUGUUCAUCUUCAACCCAUUUUCCUAUCUUGCAAAGCUGUCCAUUAAAGUAUGGUCAAUUUAUACUCUGUGACUUAAUACAUUUGUAACACUGUCAUAGUGCCAUUGACAUGCUCUUUUUUCACCCCAUUUAAUAUUGAUUCAUCUACAUGGUUAUAUGCAUGCUUUUGCAUACAUAACUUAUCCAGUCCGCUAUUGAUCAUUUCAAUUUUUCAUCCCGGCAGUACGUCGAUAGCCUAACUAGUCUGCUAUUGAUCAUUUCCAUUUUCAUCCCGGCA